rnacentral:rRNA from 1 species
GAGUUUGAUCGUGGCUCAGGAUGAACGCUGGCGGCGUGCCUAAUACAUGCAAGUCGAGCGAACGGACGAGAAGCUUGCUUCUCUGAUGUUAGCGGCGGACGGGUGAGUAACACGUGGAUAACCUACCUAUAAGACUGGGAUAACUUCGGGGAAACCGGAGCUAAUACCGGAUGAUAUUUUGAACCGCAUGGUUCAAAAGUGAAAGACGGUCUUGCUGUCACUUAUAGAUGGAUCCGCGCUGCAUUAGCUAGUUGGUAAGGUAACGGCUUACCAAGGCAACGAUGCAUAGCCGACCUGAGAGGGUGAUCGGCCACACUGGAACUGAGACACGGUCCAGACUCCUACGGGAGGCAGCAGUAGGGAAUCUUCCGCAAUGGGCGAAAGCCUGACGGAGCAACGCCGCGUGAGUGAUGAAGGUCUUCGGAUCGUAAAACUCUGUUAUUAGGGAGAACAUAUGUGUAAGUAACUGUGCACAUCUUGACGGUACCUAAUCAGAAAGCCACGGCUAACUA